rnacentral:rRNA from 1 species
CUAUCUGCAGUCGAGGGGCAGCGCAGUGUAGCAAUACAUGGGCGGCGACCGGCAAACGGGUGCGGAACACGUACGCAACCUUCCUUCAAGCGGGGCAUAGCUUUCGGAAACGAAAAUUAAUACCCCAUAGUAAUGUCUGAGGGCAUCUGAGGACAUUUAAAGAUUUAUCACUUGAAGAUGGGCGUGCGCCUGAUUAGGUAGUUGGCGGGGUAAUGGCCCACCAAGCCUACGAUCAGUAACUGGUGUGAGAGCACGACCAGUCACACGGGCACUGAGACACGGGCCCGACUCCUACGGGAGGCAGCAGUAAGGAAUAUUGGUCAAUGGACGCAAGUCUGAACCAGCCAUGCCGCGUGGAGGAUGAAGGUCCUCUGGAUUGUAAACUUCUUUUAUCGGAGAAGAAACCCCUGAAUUCUUUUAGGGUUGACGGUACCCGAUGAAUAAGCACCGGCUAACUCCGUGCCAGCAGCCGCGGUAAUACGGAGGGUGCAAGCGUUAUCCGGAUUCACUGGGUUUAAAGGGAGCGUAGGUGGGCUGGUAAGUCAGUGGUGAAAUCUCCGGGCUUAACUCGGAAACUGCCGUUGAUACUAUCAGUCUUGAAUGUUGUGGAGGUAAGCGGAAUAUGUCAUGUAGCGGUGAAAUGCUUAGAUAUGACAUAGAACACCGAUAGCGAAGGCAGCUUGCUACACAAUUAUUGACACUGAGGCUCGAAAGCGUGGGGAUCAAACAGGAUUAGAUACCCUGGUAGUCCACGCCCUAAACGAUGGAUACUCGACAUAUGCGAUACACUGUAUGUGUCUGAGCGAAAAGCAUUAAGUAUCCCCACCUGGGAAGUACGACCGCAAGGUUUG